rnacentral:tRNA from 1 species
AUUAAGUUAGCAAAAUAAGUGCGAGUAAUUUAGAAUUACUAGAUAAGAUAGAGUUUCUUACUUGAU